rnacentral:rRNA from 1 species
CGGCAACAGCUCAAAUUUGAAAUCUGGCCCCUUAUGGGGGUCCGAGUUGUAAUUUGCAGAGGGUGCUUUGGCGCGGGCGGCGGUCUAAGUUCCUUGGAACAGGACAUCGCAGAGGGUGAGAAUCCCGUACGUGGACGCCUGCCUGCGCCGUGUAAAGCCCCUUCGAC